GAGUUUGAUCCUGGCUCAGGAUGAACGCUGGCGGCGUGCCUAACACAUGCAAGUCGAACGGAGUUUAUGAGGAAGAAGCUUCGGCGGAAUUCUUAUAAACUUAGUGGCGGACGGGUGAGUAACACGUGGAGAACCUGCCUCUUACCGGGGACGAGCAGUUGGAAACGACUGAUAAUACCGCAUAAGCGCACGAGACCGCAUGGUCCUGUGUGAAAAGAUUUAUCGGUAAGAGAUGGCUCCGCGUCUGAUUAGCCAGUUGGCGGGUAACGGCCACCAAAGCGACGAUCAGUAGCCGGCCUGAGAGGGUGAACGGCCACAUUGGGACGUGAGGACACGGCCCAGGACUCCUACGGGAGGC
rnacentral:rRNA from 1 species